rnacentral:lncRNA from 1 species
UACUGGAAUCCUUCCGGUAAGCAAAUUCGAAGACAAAUCUAAUGAUUCCAGAUUGGUCAACAUUCCUAAUGAUGAUUGAAUAUGGCCUGUAAGGGAAUUAUGAGAGAGGUUGAGUUGUAGAAGUGCUUUAAGCUUUCCGAUCUCCUUUGGAAUCUCUCCGGUGAAACUGUUGCUUGACAAAUCAAGUAUUCCAAGAGAGCUUUGGAUUUUCGGAAACUCAAUAUCAAACCCUUUCCAUGUCACUUUUAUGGAAUAGGCAUAGUCAGAGUAACUUCUUGCCAUCAUGGAAACUGAAUUUUGAUCAGAGACCAUCAUUGCUUCAAAACUAUUAAAAUACCAUGUUGGCAAUGAUCCACUCAAAUUAUUGUUGGAGAUGUCGAAAAUCCGUAAUUUGGAGAAGGAAUUAUUAGCAAACGAACCAUUCAUAAAACCCUGGAGCUUAUUGGACUUUAGGACAAGAACAUGCAGCUCUGGAAGCAUUUGAAGGAAAUAGGGGAAUGCACCCUCAAUCUUAUUGUUGCCAAGAUCAAGAACUUCCAACGAUGUGCAGUUGAUGAUAGACGAUGGUAUUUUCCCUUCCAAUUCAUUGCCAUUUAGGUUGAGAUAUCCCAAGCUAUUCCCUUUUGAAAAUGGUGAAAAGAUAGUUCCUUGAAGAUUAUUCAUGCCAAGAUUCAAAAUUGAGAGAGAUUUGCUAAAGUUCCCUAAACAUUGUGGUAUAAAACCACUGAAGCUGUUGUUGGACAAAUCAAGGAGUCGAAGGAAUUUAAGCUUGCAAAUAGAAGAAGAAAUUUCACCUGUUAAUUUAUUAUUGGAUGCAAGAGCAAGGACUUCCAGGUUCUCUUGUUUGAAAAUUGAACUUGGGAUUGGACCAUGCAAGUGGUUGUUUCUCAAAUCAAACAAUUUCAAAGAACAUACUGAUUUGAGAAGGGAUAGGUCCUACAAGUUGAUUACUAGAUAAACGUAAAUUUUCAAGGAGAGUCAGGUUACCUAAAAAAUCUGGAAUCCUACCUGAAAAAUUAUUGCCAUCAAGAUAUAAGGAUUGAAGUUGUACAAGGUUUUUAAGUGAUGAUGGAAUCUGACCACUUAAAUUAGUACCUGAGAGUUCUAAACGAGUGAGGUGUGUGAGAUAGCCGAUCAGGGUUAGAUUUGACCUUGUGAUAUUAGAGUUUUUGAGAGCCAAAACUUCCAACGACUUUAGAUUUGUGAAGAAGUCAUUUUCUAAAUAAACUGAAAUUCUAGUAUGAGAAAGACCCAAUAACCGGAGGCUCUUACUCACAUUGGAUGAAGGAAAAGAGCCAGUGAGGUCGUCGUUGUAUGUCAAAUCAAGUUCUUGAAGGUUUGGUAGGAGAAAGAUGUUACCUGGGAACUUCCCUUUCAAUCCACAACCCCAAAGGCCAAGACCUAACAAGGAUGAGGACAGAUUCGCCAAGGAAUUAGGUGUGACCAAAGGCAUAUUUACAUAACCCAAACGGAGACCUCCUAGCUUGGUUAGGUUUUGAAUAAUCUUGUCAAAAGAACUUGGUUCUACAUUCAAAUUGUCAUUGAAAGACAGAUCAAUUGAAACCAACUCAGUGAGUUGGCCAAGAUCAUCUGGAAUUGAACCUGUAAGAUUGCUGUAUCUAAGAUCCAAGUGCUGGAGGUGCUUAAAUUUUCUCACUGAGGAUGGGAAUUUUCCUUGCAAUCCACAUGAAUAGACUGUGAGUGAUGACAAAGAAGAAGACAGAUUCAUCAAGGAAUUGGGUGCAGCCAAUGACAUGUUCACCCAUUUCAGAUAGAGUUUUCUAAGCUGGGUUAGAUUUUGAACAAGCUUGUCAAAAGAAAUUGGUUCUAGACUUAGAUAGUCGUUUUCGUUUCCAGAGAGAGCAAGUGAAACCAACUCAGUGAGUUGCUCAAGAUCAUAUGGAAUUGGACCUCUAAGAUUGUUAUCUGCAAGAUUCAACUGCUGGAGGUGCUUAAACUUUCUCAUUGAGGAUGGGAAUUCUCCUUGCAAUCCACAGGAAAGGAGUUUGAGUGAUGACAAAGAAGAAGACAGAUUCAUCAAGGAAUUGGGUGUAACCAAUGACAUGUCUACUGCACUCAGAUCGAGUUCUCUAAGCUGGGUUAGAUUUCGAGCAAGCUUGGCAAAAGAAAUUGGUUCUAGACUUAGAUAGUCGAUUUCGUUUCCAGAGAGAGCAAGUGAAACCAACUCAGUGAGUUGCCCAAGAUCAUCUGGAAUUGAACCUGUAAGACUGUUUUUUCUAAGAUCCAACUGCUGGAGGUGCUUAAAUUUUCUCAUUGAGGACGGGAAUUCUCCUUGCAAUCCACACGAAUAGAGUAUGAGUGAUGACAAAGAAGAAGACAGAUUCAUCAAGGAAUUGGGUACAACCAAUGACAUGUUUACCCGACUCAGAUCGAGUUCUCUAAGCUGGGUUAGAUUUCGAACAAGCUUGUCAAAAGAAAUUGGUUCUAGACUUGGGUAGUAGUUUCCAGAGAGAUCAAGUGAAACCAAUUUGGAGAGAUGAGAGAUUUCCGACGGAACUUGACCUGCAAAGCCUGAGAAAUUUAGGUUAAGAUGUGUCAGAUUGGAGAACUGGCCAAAUGAAGAAGAAAUAUGAGAGCUUUGGAAAUCAUUGUCAGAGAGGUCGAGGUUUUGAAGAUGAUGCAGGGAGAAGAGAGAAUUAUUGGGAAGGAAGGUUCCGUGAAGCAGCAGUCUGUACCCUCUUUCCACGACUCUGUCUUGGGAUGCUGGCAACGAUAUGAAGCAGAGCUAUUAAUGGAAAAGGACUCUUUGAAUUGGAGCAAAGAAAGGCUUUGGUCAGGAGCACAGAGAUGAGAUGAAGAGGAGUAAUUUGAUGAAGAAAUUGUUGUGUGAAAAUGGAAGAGAAACAGAAUGGAAGAGAGAAAUUGAGAGAGGGACAGUGGUGAAAACCCCAUGUUGGCUGGCCUUACAGGAUUCGAAAGUAUAUUUGGAGUGUUGAGCGAAAGAUGAGAAAUAAAGAUUCGCAUUGGAACUAUUUAUACACAAACCAAUCAAGAUUGUGCUAUUCAAAUUAUUGUAGAUAUUGAAAGCGGACUUUUACAUGAAAAUAAUUAUAAUAAGAAAAAAAAAAAACAGUUUAUUAGCUUACGACGUGGUCUGUCCACUGGGAAACAUGAGUGGCCAUAAACAAAGAAAGGAAAGUUCAGCGUAGUCACGAAGUCCUUUUUCUUGACCCCAAAGUCUUCGUUUCUAGCAAGGGUUGUUUGAUAUUGAGGUUACUGUUAUGGUUAUGGUUUUAAAAAAAUUGUUUUAUAAAAAAUAUUUUUAGUUGAGGUUGGUUUGAAAAAAUAUAUGUUUUGUUAAAAUUGUGGUUGAAAUUGAGGUUGAACAAAAAAUAGUUUAAUGUGUUUGGUAAAAAAAUACUUUUCAAAUUGAGGUUAUAAAAUAAUUAAUAUAUAUAUAUAUAUUAAUGAUUUUUAAUUUAAAUAUUUUAGAUUUAACCACUGUUAUUAUAUUAUAAAAUAAAUAUAAAGAAUCAAAUAUUAUCUUUCAUUAAACUAUAUGCAAUGUCAUUACAAUACAAAUCUAUCAACAAGGACUAUAUUUUUCAUGUUUUAAGCGCGCAACAACAAAAACUGAAUUUUUUAUCAUUAAGUGAUCCUUUAAGUUAAUAAAACACAAUAAAAAAAUAAAAAACUGAAUUUCUUUAUAUGUUAUUAAAUAUAUAAAUAUUAGUUUUUCAAGUAAAACACAUUUUUAAAAAAAAUUUACAAUUUAUUAUGUACAAAAUUCAUUCGACAAAACUACAGAAAAAAAAUUUUUGAGCGUGCAAUAAAUUAAGUAAAAUAUUAUCAUGAAUAAAAUUGAGAUUACAAUACGAGUAAAUUUAAUUCACCUUAAACUAAUGUUUUUUAAAAAUAACAUUGUUCAUGUUCACAUGAAUAAUGCGAGUAAAAUCAAUUAAUUGCAUUAAUAUUUCAAGAAAAAAAAACUUCUUGCAAUGUUUUUUAAAAAAAAAAAAAAAAAAAAACUAUAAUCGUGCGAGUGAAUUAAUUCACUCGCACUGUUGCAACAGUGGAGCCAUGCUCCACUGUUCUGCUUUUGAAUCCUAUGAGAAGCAACAAAUUUUGCUGCUUCUCCAAAACAUGUGGCGCGGCUGAGAAUUUGAUGGGUCCCACCAUCAAAAAGCAGUUUUCUUUUGUUAACCAAACGGCAUUUGGUGUGGCUGCGGGUGAACCUCAAAAUUUGUUACCAAACGGGCACUAAGUGGGUGUUUGGUUUUGUGGUUGCAGGUGAGGUUCACCCGCAACCACAUAUUUUAGUGUUUGGUAAUAGGAAAAAAAAUGAUUUUCACUGGUGGGACCAUCAAUUUUAACGGCUGCGUCACAGGUUCGGAGAAGCAGCAUUUUGCUGCUUCUCAUGCUGAGAAUAACAUCAACAGUGGAGCCAUGCUCCACUGUUCAUUGACACAUUGAACAGUGGAGCCAUGCUCCACUGCGCACUGUUCGCUAAGUGAAUAUUUUUUUUUUAAAAAAAAAAACCAUGAAAAUGAGUUUAAAUUUUUUUUUUGUUUUUUUAAAAAUUAUAAUAACAUACCAUUUAUGAAAUUUGAUCGCAAUUCCAAUUAUGUUAUUACCAAGUCCGGCCCAGUUAAAAAAAAUUCAGUUUUUAUUUUUAUUUUAAUUGUGUUCUAUUUAAAAAAUUAAAAAGAGAUCGUUUGAUGACGUAAUAAAAGAUUCAGUUUUUGUUAUUGUGCGCUUAAGAAACCAUGAAAAAUAUAGUCCUUGUUGGAUAGAUUUCGCAUGUGAUGACAUUGCACAUAGUGUAAUGAAAUAAUAAAAAAUAUUUGAUAUCAAUAUUAUUUAUUUCAUGAUGUAAUAACAGUAGUUAAAUUUACAAUAUUUAAAUUAAAAAUCAUUAAUAUAAAUAUAUAUAUUUUUUAAUUAUUUUAUAACCUCAAUUUGAAAAGCAUUUUUAUUAACCAAACACAUUAAACUACUUUUUUUUUAACCUCAAUUUCAACCAUAAUUUUAACCAAACACCUAUUUUUUCAAACCAACCUCAACUAAAAGUACUUUUUAUAGAACAAUUUUUUUUUAAAUCACAACCACAAAAGCUACUGCAAUACCAAACACAUCCUAAAUGAUUUCCCCGCAAAUUAGUGGUGCUAAUAAUUAAUUUUAUAGAUACUGGAUGUGGAAUUUUACAUGAAAAUAUUUUUAGGGAAAAAGAAUUACGACUGCUUUACAUACUGACUUUAGUUUCCAAAAAGAAAUCGAGGCACAACAUUUUCAAUAGAAAGAAUUGUUUUUUAAUAAUUUACAAACGUAGUUAAUUCACAUCUUAGGUAUGUGGCCAUGCAUGAUUUAAGCACCAAAACGUAGAUAAAGUAUACAAGAAAUUACUGUGUCUAUUAUUGAAUACCCUUUUAAUGUUUUGAACUUAAACUGUGAGAUUAUUGAAUAGAUCAUCCAUUUCUCUUUGGAGUACUAUUAAUGACUAAAAUGCCAUUAAAAUAAUUAGCAUGUUACUACCUGCUCCAUUUUAAUGAUUUGAUUUGAAGUGGUAGUCCUAAAAGACGUUUCCAUAAUUCAAGUGCAAGCUAUUUAAUUUAUUUAUUUUAUUGUUGCUAGCGAACUCUUCUUUGUUUCUUUUUCAUGAGUUGCCUAUAGAGCAAACGGUUUUUUAUUGUAUAAUCUACGUUCACAAAUGAAGUGGCUCCAUGAUUUUUGUUGAGAGUAGAUAAUAUCCCUACAUUUACAUUUGCAGCAAGUUUUUGUGCCAGUCUUCGGUGCUGAAUAUGGAAUUGAAGAUUGAAUUAUUCAAUUAUAAAUAUUUCUGUACAAGUAGGUCCCUUAGUUGACUAAACAAUAGUGUUGGAAACACGGCAAUAUUAAUUUUUAUAAUUGAUAUUUUUUGUGGAAAUUAUUUCUUAAUAUUCAUAUAUAUAAUUCAUUAACAAUUUUGGGUAAAGAGACGUAAGGAUGAUAUCCCUUCAUAUUUACAUCUGCAGAAAGUGUAUGUGCUAAUAGAUACAGUUUGUGCUGUAAUUAGAAAUUUUUUUGUAGCUCGUCUGAUGGUCUGUCCUUUUCCUCCUUGACCUAACUUGGAAAUAAUGUCCAACAAUUACGUGUGGAAAUGAUGGAAUUGAAUGUUGAAUUAUUCAAUUGCAAAUAUUUCCAUACCAGUAGGUCCCUUAAUAUUUCCGUACCUCCUUGACUAUAAUGUGAAUCUCAGAAGCAGGCAUUGUCCCACCUCUGGACUUCGAGCAAAAGCUCUUGAAAAAAUUGGGAAUUGUAUAUGACUUAUUCCCUGGGAAACAUAAGUGGCCGUAAACAAAGAAUGGAAUGUACAGCGGAGUCACGGAACUAAACUACCAAAGUCUUUUAGGGGAAAUCACUUACGACUUGGUCUGUCCUUUUACUUGACCCCAAAGUCUUUGUUUCUGGUAAAUAAUUUUCCCGCAAAUUAAUUAAUCUUAUAGAUAUUGGAGGUGGGAUUUUACAUGAAAAUAUUAUUAGGGAAAAAAAUUGUGACUGCUUAAUGUGAAUGUUCAGAGAAGUUUUUCUAAAGUGUAUUUAGGAAUGGAAUUUAUGUGAAGCUUGCUUUACAUACUGAAUUUAAUUUCCCAAAAAAAAAAAAAAUCCGACCACAAAAUUUUUCAAUAAUUUACAAACGUAGUUAAUUCACAUCUUAGGUAUGUGGCCAUGCUUGAUUUAAGCACCAAAACGUAGAUAAAGUAUACAAGAAAUUACUGUGUCUAUUAUUGAAUAGAUCAUCCAUUUCUCUUUAGAGUAAUAUUAAUGCAUAUAAAUCUCAUAAUAUUCUUUAUAUUUAUGUUAGCUGUAUAGCAUCUCAAGGGCUUUUUUCUAUUUGAAGGUUUUAUUAUUAUUGCAUUCUACCUCAAAAUCAAUAAAACUUUGAUUAUUAUAUAUAUAUAUAUAUAUAAAAUCAUAUUAAAUCAUUAUUGUUCACAACUUUGUGUACCCAUCGAGCAAAUCGGAUGUGUCCAAUUGGAGAGAUAAAAUUAUGGAAGGAAAAAUAUUGGAAACCAAAUAUAGAAGAUAAAAAACUGAUCCUUUAGUCAAAUAAAAUACGUUCUAGCAAAUUCCUCAAGUGAUUUUAAAUCUAAGAGCAACCUAUUUAAUUAGAAUAUUUCAUUUAUAUUUUUUAGUAGAGAUUCCUAAUGACAUUUUUUCUUGAACAAGUGAUUUCUCGGCACUCCUCAAAUAAUUUCUAGCCUGACAGACAAACAAACAAAUAAAUCACUUAAAAUUCUCAAACAAUUAUAUAUAUAUCACAGUUAAUUACUUUUUGACAUUUUUUAUCACAUUUUAUUUAUUUAUUUAUUUAUUUUAUAAGUUGGUGAUUAUUUUUUAUAGAAUGUUUACGCACAUAUUGAAUAGAUAUGAACGUCAAUUACCUCACAAAGGGUGUAAGCAAAGGGGAAAAAAAAGAACAAAAAAAGAGGAAAAGUAAAUACUUGAGAUAUAUAAAAUAUGACUAAAAUGACUAAAAUGAGAAACCCUAUGUCAAACUAUCGCUUUAUAUUAUUUUAAAUGACUAAAAUGCCAUUAUAAUAAUUAGCAUGUUACUACAUUUUAAAUGAGUUUAUGAUUUGAAUUGGUAGUCCUAAAAGUUCUUUCUUUUUUCAAGUCUGUCCCUUUCAUUGACCUUCAAGUCUCCGCAACUAAUUAAAAUAUAGUGUCAAACAAGUGGCGCAAAACAUGGGGCUGAAGGUUUAAUUAUUGAAAACUUCAAUAUUUCCAAGUGUUGGAAACACCGCAAUAUAUAUUAGUUUGCAGGAUAAUUUUUGUAAUAUUGGGCUUUUGUUGCGGAGUAAUUGAUUAAUUCAAGUGUUUUUUAUUUAAGAAUAUAUUAAAAUAAUAUUUUUUAUUUUUUAAUAAUUAUUUUUAAAAUCAGUAUAUUAAAAUGUUACUACAUUUUAAAUGAGUUUAUGAUUUGAAUCGGUAGUCCUAAAAGUUCUUUCUUUUUUCAAGUGUGUCCCUUUCAUUGACCUUCAAGUCCCCGCAACUAAUUAAAAUAUAGUGUCAAACAAGUGGCGCAAAACAUGGGGCUGAAGGUUUAAUUAUUGAAAACUUCAAUAUUUCCAUACAAGUGUUGGAAACACGGCAAUAUAUAUUAGUUUCCAGGAUAAUUUUUGUAAUAUUGGGCUUUUGUUGCGGAGUAAUUGACUGUUUGAGAUUACUGAUAGUAGUUAUGAAUUAAAGUGUUUUUUAUUUAAAAAUAUAUUAAAAUAAUAUUUUUUAUUUUUUAAUAAUUAUUUUUAAGAUCAGCACAUUAAAAUGAUUUAAAAAAUAAUUUUUAGAGAAUUUUAUUUUUGAAAUUUAAGGGAAUGCGGUUUCAAUCGCGUUCCCAAACGAUAAAUGUUUGGAAAUAUAGUUGUGGUUACUUUUCAAAGUGUUUUUCACUUGAAAAUGUAUCAAAAUAAUAUUUUUUUUUUAAAAUAUUAUUUUUGAUAUUAGUGCAUCAAAAUGAUCUUAAAAAAAAAAAAAUUUCUUUUUCAAAAACACUUUUAAAAUACAAAAACAAACAAAACCUCUAAAUCAUAUACAUAAUAAGAAUAUGCAAUGAGUUUUUUUUCUUAAUGAAAUACGAGAGAUUUAUUCGAUCACUAUUAUAGCCAUUAAAAACAUAGCUUAAUAGAUAGAAAGAAGAGCACUGAAAAACUCAGAAGAGUGAGAAAACUUACUAGCACAACUAAAUCCACAACUAAGUCAUUUUCUCUAAGAACUCUUGCUUGACUAAAUGAUCUGCAACAAUAUUAUUUCUUGUAUAUAAUUUUUCAAAAAAAAAAAAUGAACACACAAGAUUCUCAAAAGGAUGAAUUUUCUUUAGUAAUUUACACGUAUAGUUAAUUCACAGCUUAGGCAAAUGGCAAGAUUCCUCGAUUAAAUAAUAUUUUAUUUCAUUAAUAAAUUUUCAUCAUACCAAGGGAAUUAAUUUGUAGAUGUUUAAUUGUAUUGUAAUUUUUCGACUUCAAAGAUUUUGAGAAUACUCCAAUUGCAUAACUUGGAAAUUCUAGGGUUCUAUCGUGGAAAUGGAGGAUUACAAAAAAGGUUUUAGGGAUGAGCUUUUUGCACCAAAGGCUGCACCUUCCAGCUAUAAAGAUGGAUUUCCAAGGUUUGAUAACAGCCAUUUAAAUAGCUUUUAGACCGACAAUUACAUGAAAGGAAAAAUUAGAAUUUCAAAACUGGUGGGAUAAGUAAUAUAAAAUCUAAAAUUACGUUAAAAAUUCAAAAUUCUACGCCUGAUUUGAAGUCCUUACCGAAGAAGUGGGCGAAGCCAGCGCUCCUAAAUAAAUUUGAGCGUGUUUUAACUGUCAUAUAAAAAGUUACAGUUUAUUUAUUUUUAUAACUAUAGGUAUUCGAGCUGGUUUGUCCAUACCUCAACUAAUUUCACGGGUUUUGAAGUUAAUAAACAUAUAAGUCUCUAGUAGUCCUAAGAUUUGUAAGAUUUGAACUGGUGAUCUCUAAAGAGCAAACUUAAAACUUGACCAAUUAAAUUACACCCUUCAAAAUUAAUUAUAGUCUAUUUUAUUAUACAGGUCAUUUAGCGCGAUGAGAUCACUUAUUGAGUUUAAAUUAAUUUGUCUAUAUGAUCCAAUAAAAUAUUUGCUAGGUUAUUUAUAUUGUCCAACUGAGAUAGAUUUGUAUCCAAUUGAUCACAUCCUCCUGCAUCAAAGAUUAUUACAUGGCUAAUAAUCAAUAAUGUACAAUCUCUCAAACUAUAUCGUGCAAUUAUUGAGGUAUCCAUAGACAUCUUAAUUUAAUUAAAUCGAAGUAUGAGGAAAUAAAGUUGUUAUGGUUGUCUCUCAUGGAAUUAAAAAGCUAAUCCUAAAAGGUGUAAUUUAACUAGUUAGAUUCUAAAUUUUUUUUUUAGGUCACCAGUUAAUUCAAGUUCUACAAAACUUAUGGCCACUAAAAACAUAAAUAAUCGUUAAUUUUAGGGUCCAUAAAAUUAAUUGAAAUACAUACAAAUUAACCCGGACACCAAAGUUAAUAAUAAUAAUAAUAAAAAAAAGCUUGUACAUAAGUUUUCACUCUGUUCCUGGUUUAUUAAAUCUCUUGUCAUGACCUAUUUCAUUGGUGGCUCGCCCCAUGCAAUUAAUAUUCAUGUGGAUUAUCCAAAGUAGCAUUUGAAUUCUGUAAAUUAACUUCCUUUUUGUUCAAUUUCCUAUGUCUUUAAAAUUUUGUUAUGGACAUAAGCCUAAUUAAGUAGACAACAUUGUAGUUUCGAUAUGCCAUAAUUUUUAUCUGAAUGUCCGAUUGAGGCUUGUGAAAACAAUGUAAAAAAAGAGAGAGAAGGGAAUUGAACUAGUUUGAAGAGUUUGAUUUAUGUAAUUCAUAAUCAAAAUCUGGAAUUAGCUAGAUUUGAAGCAAAGUGUGCUACGUACAAUGGCUAAUUUUAUCCUGAAAAUUCCCAUUUUGACCUGUGAGGCUAAGGCAAAUGAAACAGUUGCUAAUAAACAUUUCAUCCAUAGUUUUGAAACCCAGCCCAACACGGUAGGUCAACCCGUGAUCCGGAUGAUCCAGGGCUGUAAUAGGACCGGGUUGAAGAAAAAACAAAAGAAAAAAAAAUCUGGUGUAACCUGGUGGGCUGGUCAAGACCCGGCCUUAAACUCGUUGACUUUUAUUUUAUUUUUAUUUUUGUUUUAUUAAAACGACGUUGUUUUGAUUUUAAAAAAAAUGCCUUGGAUCGGGCCGGCCACCAAGCCGGGUCUUAAAAAUAUGAUUUCAUCUAACAUAUACACAUAAUUAAAGCAAAACAUUCAUGACUCUUUGGCAGAAUGUCGAUAGUUACUGGCCUUAGAGAGCAUAUUGUUAGAACCACUUAGGUGGAGAUUAGUGGUUCGGUCUAUGCCAUUAAGGUUACAGAAAAACCAUGCUUAGAGGUUAAUUCAAGUAGGGUUGAUAAAAAGAAGGUUGUGGAAAAUUGGGCUGGGAAGUUGAAUCCUUCCAACUUUGAUACUUUAGAAUCCUCCCAACAUGAUUCUCUCAAAUCAUCAUAUGCUGCUGCUGAGUAAUUUUGUUCUGAGGAGCCAAUGGAAGCUGGAAUACAUGGAGCAAAAAUUGAUGACACGAAUGAGACUGCUGUAUGUAGCCAUGGUAUGGAUAGGGAAUUCUCUUUUUGUGAUCCUGGGUGAACAUGUACUGCCUGAAAGAAUUAACAAGAAGGGUACUUUGAAUGUUGAUUUGCUUUCUCCAGAGAAGGGUUCUUUGAGGAAAUCUGUUGCUGAGGAGACAGAAACAACCGAUACCGACCCGAUAAAUGCAACGCUGCACUAACAAGCUUCCCUGCUACCAUAGCUGCUAUAAAAAGCAAUGGAGUCCAAAUUGUUGAAAAGCAGUCAGAGGAAAAUUUAAAUAUUGAUGGUGGGCUUAUCUCUAAUGCUUAUAUGGAUGAGUGGAGGAAUGGAUCACAGUGUAUUGGGCUAGAGGAAAACACACUCUCAAUAGUUCCAGUUAACACACAUGAGCCUCUGUUAACUACUUACUAUAAGGCUUCGGACCAACAACUGAUCUCAUUCAUGCUUAAAUGGCCCGGUGAAAUAUAAUAAAAACAAGAUGUUUGAGGUCUUCAUCACACCUAUAGCAGAACCAGAGGAGGUAGCUGAACUAGAGAAGGAAAAGAAGAGAAGUUCGAACAAAAGAAAGAAGAAACUUUCCUUAAAAUCAGCAACUCGUAAGGGGAGAACAUCAAGAAGUAGAAAAGAGAAGUCUGCUAACCUGGAAGAGUGAACUUUAGCAAUUAGAUCGACAAGGGGAAUCAAGAAAUGGAUUCCAGAUGGCAGCGUCUUCAAGUACUUUCCAAAUCUCUGUACGACAAACGCUUUCUUCUCCGGCACAAUCCGUACCCCCCAAUUCACAGGUGGCGUAAUCUCAUAACUAAUUAAUUAUAAUAAAUUAAUAAAAAAAAAUGGAAGAAAGACAGGGAGGGAAUGGGGAAUGAAUGUACCUGGUGAAGGGGUCGCGGCCGGUGCUGAGGAGGCGGACGGAGAUGGUGGAGGAGAGAGGAGAGGAAAGGCGGUUGUUUUGGGCUAAGUGAAAAGAAGGGGGUUUAAAUAAGGGAGAAUUGGAGGAGGGAGCGAGGAGGGUUCUGCCUCUGGAAGCGGUGGAAGCCGAUAAGGAGGAGAGGUGGUGGGAGGUUCUUACGGCGUUGUUGAGUAAUAAAUGACUCCUCCUCCUCCACAUUUUUCCGUCUCUCUUUGUUGUUGCUGUUGAAAAACCCUUGGCCUCCUUAAUUAUCGAACCCUCCCUCACUCUCACACUCUUCACUCUGAUCUGCUCUGCUGACCCUCUCCCCAAGUCACCCUCUCUCUUUUGUUCCCCCUCUGCCCACUCAAAUAAUUUAUUUUCCGAAGUUGUAAUUGACAGUGUGUGGUGGGUGGGUUUUGUUUUAGGCCCGACGUUUUAUAAUGGGCCUGUCUUUUUUUUCUUUUAGAGUUUUUGUUAAAGAAUUGAGAAAAUCGAGACUAAUAAUCUCUGAACAUGAAGAACAAUGAGAGAACGGCAUGAUUUUUAUAAUUUUAAUUUUAAUUUCUUAAGUUAGAGAGCUUAGAUUUAUAUAAAAGUGAGGUUUUACAAUUCAUGAAUAAUAAGACAAUUUAAUCAUAUUUAAUCAGAAAAACAAUAGGAUUAGAGGAUAAAAAGUAAUCCAAAUUACUUUGAUUGUUCGAACAAAUUCGGGUAGUAAAUUUCUUAAAGUUUCGGAGAAGAGGUAAUUCAGAGAGAAUUACCUCACAUUUAUUUGAGAUAAUUCAUUUAAAAUUCAAAAAUUUAAAUCAUCCAAAUUAUAAUUCUAAUUUAUUUGUAAGGUUUUAGAAAUAAUGAGAUUGAAAUUUUUCUUAGUAAAAAAUUUCUUGAGCCUAGUUUUAUUAAUCCAUAUUUUAAUGAAUUUCUUAUAAAAACUUAAUGGGGAAAUGGUAACAAUAGUAUUAAUUUUGGAUUACCUGAUUUUUUCAAAAUAGGGUUUAUACAUACUGCUAUAAAUUGAUAAUAAUAUUUGCAUCUCAGAAACAUAGAAACAUUUGAUCGUAAAUCUUCUGUUACUUUUGUGUUGCAUUAAUUACUGCUUGGAUCGACACGAAGGUAAAGAGCUAAGCAAGUUAGCUAGUAAUUUAACCGAUAAUAAUUAAGUAUUAAAGUGUUAAUCAAGAAAAAAAACAUUUCUAGUUUGAAUCUUAUCACUUGGAUUUCCCAACCCAACUUACAUAUAAGUAUGUGAUUGAUUAAAACUCUCGAGUUGAUAAAUUUUUGACCGUGAUUUAGCUCUCGAAAGUGAUCACUCACCCGUAGGCUAUGUCAGGAGUGAGUGCUUGCUAUGGAUAUAAGAAGAAGAAAAAAAAAAACGAAGGUAUGGAGCUCUACGUAUCCUUGUUAUUAGUAAAGGUUAUAUUCAUGUGGAAAAGUGGUUAUCUCUUACAUGAACUUUGGUGCUCCCUUCAAAAGACUGAAGAAUUUGAAAGUAGAAUGCAAAUGUGAUUCAUAUGUGCUACCGGCGAAUAUCUCAACCUUCUUACGUGAUGCUGAAUACAUAAAAAUGGGAGAACGAAGCGAAGAAGGAAUCGUAGGUAAGUACAUUUUCAUAAUUUUAUUUCUAUUUGCAGUCUGAAUCUUAAUUGAUUUUCGUUGAUUGUUAAUAUUCUCAAUCAAUUUCAUUGCUUAAUCUCGUUUGCCGUAUUCAUGCUUAUCCAAUAACAAUCGAAACCAGUAAACGUCCAUGAAUGUUCUAAAUCACUGUAGCAAUCUGGAAGCAGAAAAAUUCUUGAUAUGAAUUAUUCAUAAACAUGCAUGUUCUAAAUAAGGCUUUUGAAUCCUACGCUGUUAUCUCAUUGCAAUCCAAGUCCAUGGUUACGAGUGAAAUGCUCUGUUUCUGGCACCGGCCUCGUCGCUUCAUCGUUGCUACCCGUUUAAUACUGUAAGUGCUGUGAUAUGCCUCACCAUUUCUUGUAGGUGCGAGGUUGAUGUUCGACAGCUGCAUCAUUACGAGGAAUGAGUCGGUCUCGUUUGCAAGACUUGAAGAGAACAAGAAAGCUGACAGAGGGAGUUUGAAGAACAGCAAGGCAGUCUUAUUAUUCUGUGUGAUUUCUACUGUGCAUAUACAUAGUUUAUAUAGAAAAGAUCUUGUCUAAUAAGUAAACUGACAGACUAGCAACUAAUCUUUAGGAUUUAAUUACAAAAACUACAAUCAAACUAAAUCUCUAAGAAAUGAUUUACAAAUCAAGCUUUAAUUGUUUUGAUUCCGAAUCCUAACAAGACUAGCCACCAAAUUACAUCCAAAUUACAUAUUUGGUUUUUUUUUUUUUCCAGUUGCAAUUUGCGGCGGCAUCGCAUUUCCAGAAGCUAAGCUUUAACAAGGUUGCUUAUUCACAUUACUAUUUUGCAUGCAUAAAUCUAUGCUAGAAAUAUUUGGAACUAAUUACUUUGCCAACGCUUCUGUUUGCAUGAUAACACUACCCAAAAGUAGGCAAGGAACAGAGCAUUAGAGUUGGUUGUGAAACGAGGACAGCGCCUGGUUGAUCCGAGUGAUGGAGAAAAAGUGGAUGAUUGGAGUUCUCCCAUGGUUCUGAGGUCUUGAAAGAGUUCGACAGCGCCUGUUUUAUUCAAGAAGCUUUUGGUCUUCGUCACCAGGCAUGAGGUAUUUUAGUUGUAUGGAUUCCUAGCUUCUCAGAACUGGAGCUCUGAUACCAUAAAGAAAAUGAUAAUGCAAAUGUUUUCUGUAUUUUCUUUUUUCAAUAUUGCAAAGCUGUACGACAAAUAUAUGCAGUUUACAUACAAUCUGAUCCACCAUUCUAGGAGCUAUUCUAGGAUUAACUUUGAUAAACUGUUAAAGAAUCGAAAUGUCAAAGCAACCAAUCUCUUCACGGCGAAAUGUACUUCACAUAAAAAGCGCACUCCUAAAUAAAUAAAUAAUGUGAAUACCCUAAGAAAGGGUGAUUGAAGUAAAGAUGCAACAACUGCUGCAUGCAUUGGUUCUUUUUUUAUAGAUGUAACACCCAAACCUUGCAUCAAAGUUAACCAAAAAAAAAACACGCAAAUUAAGUGACUCGAAAAUAUUCCAUGUAUCGAAUAAAGCUAAUAAUAAAAAUAAAAUUAAAACACAACCAUGAAGGAAAACAGAAGCAGUACGAAAGAGGAAUCCAAUUCUCUGAAUCUGCCACUCUAGCGUUCUUCUCAUGUCAACCUCCACUUGGCAUCUCAUAAGGUAGCGAGAAUGUUUAUUCCAAACUUCACUGCAAUAGAGAAACAUACAAAUAAUUUUUUUUAUUUAAUGAAUCCGAAAGCGAAAGAAAAGACUAAUAAAAGGAAAUAGCACAGAAAAAAUAGCAUAAACUGUUGCACGUAAAACCUUAAGAUGUCAAAUGUUUGCAUAACUUACCUCAUGUUACUAGCUCCGUUGUUUAGUUUCUUCUUGCACCAUUCCUACGAGCAUUCUUCUUCGUUCUUCUUGCCUUCAGAUUCCAUAGAUCUUCAACCACUUUCAGAAACCAUGCUGGUUUUCUUGUUCUGAACACAACGUAUCCCAUUGUGACUCCAAACACAAACCCACUUCCAUACCCUAUUGCCACAGCUUUCCAUCCAAAUCCUUCUUCAAAGAAUUUUGAAUCAUCUCCAUCGUGAAAGUCUGAUGGCUGCAAUGGUGGUGCCUCGUCACUAGUGCAUUCUUUUGGGAUGGGGAAUCCACAUAGGCCCCGGUUUCCUUCAAAUGAGCUUGCAUUGAACGUGCUGAACUGCGUUCCCCCGGGUACGGGCCCCUCAAGCUGGUUAUGUGAAAGGUUUAUGACUGCAAGAAAUGUUAGAUGUGCCAACUGUACUGGAAUCCUUCCGGUAAGCAAAUUCGAAGACAAAUCUAAUGAUUCCAGAUUGGUCAACAUUCCUAAUGAUGAUGGAAUAUGGCCUGUAAGGGAAUUAUGAGAGAGGUUGAGUUGUUGAAGUUCUUUAAGCUUUCCGAUCAUCUUUGGAAUUUCUCCGAUGAAACUGUUGUUUGACAAAUCAAGUAUUCUAAGAGUGCUUUGGAUUUUCUCGAACUCAUACUCAACCCCUUUCCAUGUCACUUUC